CCAUGACAAGCUCUGCAGAAUCCUUUAAAUAAAACAAUAACCUGGUGUUGAAAAAUCUGAUUUUUCUUCCCAGGCAGCAUUCCAAUGGGACUCCCAAACUCCCUCUCUUGCCGAAAUGGAGGAAGUUGGAAGGAAACAAUAGUGCUUGUUGCUUUGUCUCUCCCACAAGCAGCUGUGUGCUCACUCGGUGUCAGCAUUAUUUUUUAAAAAAAAACUAGGAGGAAAGAAGAAGAAGAAGAAGAAGAAGAAGAAGAAGAAGAAGAAGAAGAAGAGGAAGAAGAAGAGCUAGUAAAAAUAGCAGCAAGAGUUGAGAGGUGGUGUGGAUCUUUCCAUAGCAAAAAGGCCAAACACAUCUGUUCAAUCCCAAAGAGAAGAACAAACCUUUCUGCAGCAACAAUCCCACCCCAGGACUUGGCAGCUGGUAGGAAGAGAGGUGCAGAUCUGCAGGAGCAAACCAUCACAUUCCGAUGUAUCCUCUCAGUCUUCAGAUGUGCAACCAGUUCAAGACCAAAAUCUCGCACUCAACUGACUAGAAACAUUUCUCAGCUAUUAUGUUUGAAUAUCUGUGAUUGUGUCACUAUGAUAACUUCUCUAUUGGUGAAGGUAAUGGGUUGUCCUCACUAUUGUCAAAUCCAUAGUUGCUGUGGCCAAUCUUCUGAUGUUGGGUCUCUAUGUUCUGAAAUACACUUGUUCUCGAAUGCAGAAUAUCCUGAUCAUACGGAAAGCCACAACAAUAUGGUAGAACUUUUAUUUAUUUUUCAAAACCAAUUUGAAAUACUUUUAUGACCUUAUAGUACAAAGAGUAUAAACAUAGCCUUCAAGAACUAAGGAUUUAUGGCCACAUCAUGGUGAGGUAACAGAAGAAGGAUUUUAGUCCAUACAUGGAGAGGAGGAAUGAAAACUCCAUUCCCUUUGAAACCAAUAAGUAGAUUUAUCUGCACACCUUGAGUUGGCAGAGUACUUCAGGAAUCAGUUUGUAUCUUGAAGGUCUGCCAGACACAAAUUAUUCUUGUUAUAGCCAUAAUCUUGGCUUAAAAAAUUAAGGGAGAAAAAUCCUGCUUACACUGAAGAAUCUUGGCAGGAGACAUUGGUGAAGUAGUUGGCUGCGUUAGGGUAAACACUCUUCCAACUAUAUCAAGAUUAACUUUGUUUCUGCCAAUGCACUACUCAAGAUGGCCUGUGUAGAACUGGAAGAAAUCCAUAGCUAAAAUGGGAGUUUGGAAAUUAUAUUUUUUAAUUCAAUAAAUCGGCUUCCAGAUUCUCUCAGCCAGCAUGUGUGAUUUUUUUGCACCUUUCUAAGUUUUCUUCUCAAUGUUCUUAUAGCCAUAUUACAAUCUGACAUACAUGUGCCAUACUUUGUCACAUUUGCCUUAGACCAA
rnacentral:lncRNA from 11 species